rnacentral:lncRNA from 1 species
GCUACAAUGGUUGGCCCGACAGUGAUAGCGGCACGCAUUGCAGCAGAAACUUAGUUUCUGCUCACGGGAACGGGCGAACCCUUUUUCUUUUACUUUCCUUACUCUCUUUUUGUGUACUUUCUUUAUUUUACUUUUUUGUUUUUUUAUUUCUUACCUAGUUUUUUGUUUUGUUUUUUUCUUGGUAAAGGCCCAAUUUUCUUUUUUUCUUUCGAUGCAAAUUGGUUUAUGUUCGUACCCUGCCAUUAAUUUUAUUUCUGUGAGCCCGUUCAUGUAGAAGAAGUUUUUACAAUUAAAGAGAAAAAGAAACCUAGGGUUUCUGCUUAAAAAAGGUAGUUCUGGGCCAAAUCUUCC